GGGGAAUCUUCCGCAAUGGACGAAAGUCUGACGGAGCAACGCCGCGUGAGUGAUGACGGCCUUCGGGUUGUAAAGCUCUGUUAAUCGGGACGAAAGGUCCUCUUGCGAAUAGUUAGAGGAAUUGACGGUACCGGAAUAGAAAGCCACGGCUAACUACGUGCCAGCAGCCGCGGUAAUACGUAGGUGGCAAGCGUUGUCCGGAAUUAUUGGGCGUAAAGCGCGCGCAGGCGGAUUAGUCAGUCUGUCUUAAAAGUUCGGGGCUUAACCCCGUGAUGGGAUGGAAACUGCUGAUCUAGAGUAUCGGAGAGGAAAGUGGAAUUCCUAGUGUAGCGGUGAAAUGCGUAGAUAUUAGGAAGAACACCAGUGGCGAAGGCGACUUUCUGGACGAAAACUGACGCUGAGGCGCGAAAGCCAGGGGAGCGAACGGGAUUAGAUACCCCGGUAGUCCUGGCCGUAAACGAUGGGUACUAGGUGUAGGAGGUAUCGACCCCUUCUGUGCCGGAGUUAACGCAAUAAGUACCCCGCCUGGGGAGUACGACCGCAAGGUUG
rnacentral:rRNA from 1 species